UACGUAGGGUGCGAGCGUUAAUCGGAAUUACUGGGCGUAAAGCGUGCGCAGGCGGUUUUGUAAGCCAGAUGUGAAAUCCCCGGGCUUAACCUGGGAAUGGCAUUUGGGACUGCAAGGCUUGAGUGCGGCAGAGGAGACUGGAAUUCCUGGUGUAGCAGUGAAAUGCGUAGAUAUCAGGAGGAAUACCGAUGGCGAAGGCAGGUCUCUGGGCUGACACUGACGCUCACGCACGAAAGCGUGGGGAGCAAACAGG
rnacentral:rRNA from 1 species